GCAACCCCGAUCCGCCCCAUGUCGCGGAUCACCAGGGCCUCCAGGAACUCGAGGCCGCCGGCGAGCGUGUUGCCCUCGAGGUAGAGCUGCUAGAGAUGACUUUGCCGUCAGCUCCUCGUCCCCAUCGCCCCCUCCGUCCGCCGCCGAGGGCGACAUCGACACCACCGACAGAGGGCGUGUAGCUCCUCGGGUUCAGGGAGCGGCUGCCGGCGGAGCACCAGGUGGGGGCAACGGCGGUGGUGUUGGGGCCUGGGCGGCUUCGUCGGAGAUGGGGAGGAGGGAGGACUGGAUCGGGAGGGGGCGGGGACGGGGAGGAGGUGGCGGCGGCGAGGAGAUGGGGAGGAGGGAGGGGUCUGAGAUAGGGUUUGGCUGUGGGUGGGGUUUUCUUU
rnacentral:lncRNA from 1 species